AAACUACAGUCAUGGAGAAAGGUGGUCCAGCAAAGACAAAAGAUGAGACAAAAGACCUAAGAAGCAUUCAUCCAACCAAAGUUAAGCUUCCAUACUUUAACAAACCCACGCCGCCUCCAGUCAAAGACAAACCCAACAAGAUUCUACCAAAAACCAAUGGCGACGCGCCUCCCGUUUUGCCUAAACCGCCAGAGGAGAAGGAGCCCGAUCAGUUUGAUGGGAUGAAUGUUACGUCUGAGAAGCUGAGUCACCCCACGGCGAACCGGGCCAAACCCCCGCAGAGGAGACCACCGUCAGGCCUGGGUGCAGCUGCGCCGACUGUGACGAACCAGAACGAACAAGAUUCUUCAGAGAAAAAGCCAGAGACAGACAGGCUUCCUGCACUGAUAAAGGCUGUGGAGAACGCCUUGCCCACACCUUUGAAGUCUGACUAA
rnacentral:lncRNA from 1 species